CCUCGGUGGACAGCAGUCCACGACUGCUUGUUCUUUUCUUGUUCUUCUUCUUUCUUCUUCUUUCUACUUCUUCUUCUCUAUUCUUCCUUUCUUCUUCUCUUCACCGAACGAGAGUGGGAGAUCGGAGAGAGAGUUUUAGAGGGAGAGACCGAGAGAUGAGAUCGGGAGGGUGAGAGAUGAAACCGAAGGGGGAGAGAACCGGAGUACUCACAACCCAGGGGAGGUCCGAUCCUCCAUGACUGGCGCUCCGAUUCGAAAUCCGGCGGAACCCGAUGGAUUUCCGGCUAGCCCGCAACCUGAAGAGACUCGGAGACCCGAGUAACCGCCAGACCCGAAGCCUAGACCCGCGACCCGUGAGCUCAAACCCGUACGACCCGAGCAACCCAGAACCCAACGGCUUAAAGGCUAGGUUUCCGGCGAGUUUUCCGGCGGUCCAGUAGCGAUUUCCGGUGGAUUUGUUGAGGAAAAUCCCUAAGAUGAUGUUUCUUUGGCUGCAGGUACUACGGUAUAGUCGAUGGGUCGGUAGCUGUGUGCUCGGGAUAUUAUGACUGAAGCUCGCCGCGACAGUUGUAAUUGUUGGACCACGGGUUGUCCACUAUUUUAUAGGUUUGGUAUGGCUUGUGACGUUUGUGUCACGUAGUCUUUGUUAAGCCAUUAUUGUUAUGUAAAUAUUGUGUUAAUAAGACUCAAACAGAUAGAUGUUAAAUGGCCCAAUGUUGUAAUUUCCGCUAUUUAGAUUUA